GGCGGACGGGUGAGUAACGCGUAGGAAUCUACCCGGUAGUGGGGGACAACAUGGGGAAACUCAUGCUAAUACCGCAUACGCCCUAUGGGGGAAAGCGGGGGACCUUCGGGCCUCGCGCUAUCGGAAGAGCCUGCGUUGGAUUAGCUUGUUGGUGAGGUAAAGGCUCACCAAGGCGACGAUCCAUAGCUGGUCUGAGAGGAUGAUCAGCCACACUGGGACUGAGACACGGCCCAGACUCCUACGGGAGGCAGCAGUGGGGAAUAUUGCGCAAUGGGGGCAACCCUGACGCAGCCAUGCCGCGUGUGUGAAGAAGGC
rnacentral:rRNA from 1 species